rnacentral:rRNA from 1 species
GGGUUGUGAGGUUAAGCGACUAAGCGUACACGGUGGAUGCCCUGGCAGUCAGAGGCGAUGAAGGACGUGCUAAUCUGCGAUAAGCGUCGGUAAGGUGAUAUGAACCGUUAUAACCGGCGAUUUCCGAAUGGGGAAACCCAGUGUGUUUCGACACACUAUCAUUAACUGAAUCCAUAGGUUAAUGAGGCGAACCGGGGGAACUGAAACAUCUAAGUACCCCGAGGAAAAGAAAUCAACCGAGAUUCCCCCAGUAGCGGCGAGCGAACGGGGAGGAGCCCAGAGCCUGAAUCAGUGUGUGUGUUAGUGGAAGCGUCUGGAAAGGCGCGCGAUACAGGGUGACAGCCCCGUACACAAAAAUGCACAUGCUGUGAGCUCGAUGAGUAGGGCGGGACACGUGGUAUCCUGUCUGAAUAUGGGGGGACCAUCCUCCAAGGCUAAAUACUCCUGACUGACCGAUAGUGAACCAGUACCGUGAGGGAAAGGCGAAAAGAACCCCGGCGAGGGGAGUGAAAAAGAACCUGAAACCGUGUACGUACAAGCAGUGGGAGCACAGAGCAAUCUGUGUGACUGCGUACCUUUUGUAUAAUGGGUCAGCGACUUAUAUUCUGUAGCAAGGUUAACCGAAUAGGGGAGCCGAAGGGAAACCGAGUCUUAACUGGGCGUUAAGUUGCAGGGUAUAGACCCGAAACCCGGUGAUCUAGCCAUGGGCAGGUUGAAGGUUGGGUAACACUAACUGGAGGACCGAACCGACUAAUGUUGAAAAAUUAGCGGAUGACUUGUGGCUGGGGGUGAAAGGCCAAUCAAACCGGGAGAUAGCUGGUUCUCCCCGAAAGCUAUUUAGGUAGCGCCUCGUGAAUUCAUCUCCGGGGGUAGAGCACUGUUUCGGCAAGGGGGUCAUCCCGACUUACCAACCCGAUGCAAACUGCGAAUACCGGAGAAUGUUAUCACGGGAGACACACGGCGGGUGCUAACGUCCGUCGUGAAGAGGGAAACAACCCAGACCGCCAGCUAAGGUCCCAAAGUCAUGGUUAAGUGGGAAACGAUGUGGGAAGGCCCAGACAGCCAGGAUGUUGGCUUAGAAGCAGCCAUCAUUUAAAGAAAGCGUAAUAGCUCACUGGUCGAGUCGGCCUGCGCGGAAGAUGUAACGGGGCUAAACCAUGCACCGAAGCUGCGGCAGCGACGCUGAUGCGUUGUUGGGUAGGGGAGCGUUCUGUAAGCCUGUGAAGGUGUGCUGUGAGGCAUGCUGGAGGUAUCAGAAGUGCGAAUGCUGACAUAAGUAACGAUAAAGCGGGUGAAAAGCCCGCUCGCCGGAAGACCAAGGGUUCCUGUCCAACGUUAAUCGGGGCAGGGUGAGUCGACCCCUAAGGCGAGGCCGAAAGGCGUAGUCGAUGGGAAACAGGUUAAUAUUCCUGUACUUGGUGUUACUGCGAAGGGGGGACGGAGAAGGCUAUGU